rnacentral:rRNA from 1 species
UACGUGGGGAGCAAACGUUGUUCGGAAUCACUGGGCGUAAAGGGCGUGUAGGCGGCUGAAUAAGUGGGAUGUUAAAUCCCCCGGCUCAACCUGGGAACUGCGUCCGAUACUGGAUGGCUUGAAUCCGGGAGAGGGAUGCAGAAUUCCAGGUGUAGCGGUGAAAUGCGUAGAUAUCUGGAGGAAUACCGGUGGCGAAGGCGGCAUCCUGGACCGGCAUUGACGCUGAGGAGCGAAAGCCAGGGGAGCAAACGGG